UGACAGUCCAAGACUUGAGCUUCAGUAUGCAGUUCCAGUCACGCGAUAAACAACACUUAAUCCAAACAAUGAUCUCUGCGAAGACCAUUUUGGUGUAGUGGCUAUGCUGGCUAUGGUUUACGUAGCCGUAGCCACUGCAGAAGCUGAUGCUGAUCCUGGCCACGGCUCUUAUGGACACGAACACGGUCAUCAUGGUUACAGACCAGCCUACAGGCCCGUCUACAGACCGCCAUACCGCCCAAUAUACAAGCCAUCUUACCACAGACCUCACCACUGGUAGCCGUAGAAAUAUAAAUAAAUAAAACAUUCAUUUCAUCAUUGUUAAAUCAUCUCAAGUUAUUCACCUUUGUUUCGCUUUUUUUCCCAUCGACCGAUUCCAGGAAACUUCAAGAGCUGUCGAGUACAUACGGGAUGGCUCAGUCCGACCUCAUUAGCUGCGAUUUGUCUUAUUUUUAUGAUUAAUAAAAAGUAUUUUUCUGA